CAAAGGUAAAGUAGGAGAAAGAGCAGAAAGGGACAGCAAGGAGCACAAAGGUAAAGUAGAAAAGGGAGCAGAAAGGGUCUGCAAGGAGCAGAAAGGGAUCAGAAUGAGAAAGGAGCAGAAGGGCGCAAAAUAAGCAGAAAGGUAAAAGAGCAGAAGGGGCCAAGGAUAGAAAACAGUGUCAGAAGAAAAAAAAAGACUGUCAAAUGAAGGAGAGGAAAAGGAGAUUGGAGCAGGAAGGACAAAUGAAGUGAACCCUCCACUUUAUUCUGGACACCACAUCAUAAGGCUUUGGUACCUGGGCCUGGCAGGGAAACGCUGGACCUACUCAUCUCCAAAGGUAAAAAAAUAUCGGUGUUAAUGUGUUCACUUUUAUUUACUGAGUGUCAGGAAGCACAGAGUGCCGUUGGGUAG